UUGUAGUUCACAUUAAAGUAGUAUUUUCACAGUGCUUAGUAAUGAGACCACUGUUACCAGAGUGGUGGUUAAUUUACAGUGUAAUUGAACACUGUGAUGACUGAAAAUGUCUGGUGUGCUAUGCUUGGAUUAUGUUUAGCACACAACAGUACUACAGUAUCUGGUGGUAUUAUGGUCUCCCUUGAUUGGGCCGGCCUUUGUUUUAUUUUCAAAGUACCAGAUCAUGUUUACUGUUCAAUUCAUGAAUAUAUAUAUAGGUGGUAUUCAUAUUUAUUUGGACUGGUAUCAUAACCCAUUCCAGUAUUUGACAGACCACUAUCCGGUAAACCUGUGAAGUAUGGUAGUAUCUGGUACAACCCCACUACAGCAACUAGUAAGCAUGACUAUAAUAAGUAGUAUCCGGCACAACCAGCGCAAAAAUUUAGCCCCCACCAAAAACAGCAGGGCUAAAAAUAGAGAUUAU